AUUAUAGAUCACCAAACAAACACAUGCAUAUGCAUUGAAUUACGAUGUAUAUACUCUAUCAAUCCAACAAACAUUUUUUUACCAUUUGUGAUCAUUGUAUCAUCUCCGAUCUUCGUAUCACCAUCUUCAAUCACCGAAAAAAAUUUCGAUCAUUGUCGUCGGCUUUACGUUUAUGAAAAACUUUAUUUUUCUGAAAUAUUUUCCAACGACUAGCCGUACAACUUUAUACACAAAUGUGUAUAGGUUUGUACAAACCCAUACAAAAGUGUAUACACAAAUGUGUAUAGAUUUGUACAAAGUAUAAUACUAAAUACUAUAUACUUAGUAUACACAUUUAUAUGGCCGUCAAAUGUCAAUUUUGCUCCCGUAUUUUAACCAUUUCUUUGGCUCCUAUCGAUCGAAUCAAACAUUGAGACUAACAUUUUAUUUCUUGAUUUCCACCUGAGCUGUGAAUGAGAGGGAGCAAGACAAUAGGAACCAAACACCGAUGAUCCCUAUAUAUUAAUCUCAUCCAAGUUAG
rnacentral:lncRNA from 1 species